rnacentral:rRNA from 1 species
GACGAACGCUGGCGGCGUGCUUAACACAUGCAAGUCGAACGGAAAGGCCUGCUUUCCCUUGUGGAUUGCGGGUACUCGAGUGGCGAACGGGUGAGUAACACGUGAGUGAUCUGCCCCCAACUUGGGUAUAAGCCUGGGAAACUGGGUCUAAUUCCCGAUAGGACUGCAGGGUGGUGCCUGUGGUGGAAAACGAUUUUCUAGUGGUUGGGGAUGAGCUCGCGGCCUAUCAGCUUGUUGGUGGGGUAAUGGCCUACCAAGGCGGCGACGGGUAGCCGGCCUGAGAGGGUGGACGGCCACAUUGGGACUGAGAUACGGCCCAGACUCCUACGGGAGGCAGCAGUGGGGAAUAUUGCACAAUGGGCGGAAGCCUGAUGCAGCGACGCCGCGUGGGGGAUGACGGCCUUCGGGUUGUAACCUCCUUUCGACCGCGAGGAAGCCACCUGGUUGGAAGGGUGGUGACGGUAGUGGUAGAAGAAGCACCGGCUAACUACGUG